rnacentral:lncRNA from 1 species
CGUUAACACCCUAAAGGUAGAUAGGAUAGAACAUGACGGUAAACGAACCUAUAGUAUGCAUGUUUUAACGAAUACAUGGUGUGAUCCUUCAUUUAAUGAUACAAAUAAGAAUGAAUCAAGUCAGUUCAUAAGGACACAUCUACAUUCUUCCUACUCAAUUUUGUUCCAUGCAAAGCCCGGAAAAAGAUAUUCUUUUUCUUUUUUACACCAGAC